rnacentral:rRNA from 1 species
UUGGAGGGCAAGUCUGGUGCCCGCAGCCGCGGUAAUUCCAGCUCCAAUAGCGUAUAUUAAAGUUGUUGCAGUUAAAAAGCUCGUAGUUGAAUUUCGGGGUUAGUAGGUUGGUCGUGCCUCAGGUAUGUACUGAUCUCACUGAUUCCUCCUUCCUGAUGAACCGUAAUGCCAUUAAUUUGGUGCUGCGGGGAAACUGGACUGUUACUUUGAAAAAAUUAGAGUGUUUAAAGCAGGCUAACGCUUGAAUACAUUAGCAUGGAAUAAUGAAAUAGGACGUUCGAUCCUAUUUUGUUGGUUUCUAGGAUUGACGUAAUGAUUAAUAGGGAUAGUUGGGGGCAUUAGUAUUCAAUUGUCAGAGGUGAAAUUCUUGGAUUUAUUGAAGACUAACUACUGCGAAAGCAUUUGCCAAGGAUGUUUUCAUUAAUCAAGAACGAAAGUUAGGGGAUCGAAGACGAUCAGAUACCGUCGUAGUCUUAACCGUAAACUAUGCCGACUAGGGAUCGGAUGAUGUUAAUUUUUUAAUGACUCAUUCGGCGCCUUACGGGAAA